AGAGUUUGAUCAUGGCUCAGAUUGAACGCUGGCGGCAUGCCUUACACAUGCAAGUCGAACGGCAGCACGGGGGCAACCCUGGUGGCGAGUGGCGAACGGGUGAGUAAUGCAUCGGAACGUGCCCAGUAGUGGGGGAUAACCCGGCGAAAGCCGGGCUAAUACCGCAUACGACCUACGGGUGAAAGCGGGGGACCGCAAGGCCUCGCGCUAUUGGAGCGGCCGAUGUCUGAUUAGCUAGUUGGCGGGGUAAAAGCCCACCAAGGCGACGAUCAGUAGCUGGUCUGAGAGGACGACCAGCCACACUGGGACUGAGACACGGCCCAGACUCCUACGGGAGGCAGCAGUGGGGAAUUUUGGACAAUGGGCGCAAGCCUGAUCCAGCCAUGCCGCGUGCGGGAAGAAGGCCUUCGGGUUGUAAACCGCUUUUGGCAGGAACGAAACGGCGCGAGCGAAUAUCUCGCGUUAAUGACGGUACCUGCAGAAUAAGCACCGGCUAACUACGUGCCAGCAGCCGCGGUA
rnacentral:rRNA from 1 species